rnacentral:rRNA from 1 species
UACGGGGGGGGUAAGCGUUGUUCGGAAUUACUGGGCGUAAAGAGCGCGCAGGCGGUCGGAUAAGUCGAAUGUGAAAGCCCCCGGCUCAACUGGGGAGGGUCAUUCGAUACUGUUCGACUCGAAGGCAGGAGAGGGAAGUGGAAUUCCCGGUGUAGUGGUGAAAUGCGUAGAUAUCGGGAGGAACACCAGUGGCGAAGGCGACUUCCUGGCCUGUUCUUGACGCUGAGGCGCGAAAGCUAGGGGAGCAAACGGG